rnacentral:miRNA from 1 species
UGUGUCUUGGUUGUAUGGUUG